GGAAAAGCUGAGAAGAUAUUUAAAAAUUGUGGGUGUUUUGAGUUUUGAUCUAAAGAAACAAACAAGAAUGUCGUGGCAAACUUACGUUGAUGAGCACUUGAUGUGUGAAAUCGAGAACGGCAAUCAUUUGACCGCCGCCGCUAUCAUCGGUCUCGACGGCAGUGUUUGGGCCCAGAGCUCUGCUUUUCCUAAGUUUAAGCCUGAAGAGAUCACUGGAUCUUGAAAGAUUUUGAUGCCUGGGUCUCUGGCACCAACUGGGCUGCACCUUGGUGGCGCUAAGUACAUGGUGAUCCAGGGGAGCCAGUGGUUCGUGGGAAGAAGGGUGCUGGUGGUGUGACCGUGAAGAAGACAGGACAAGCAUUGAUUUUUGGGAUAUACGAAGAACCGGUGACGCCCGGACAGUGCAACAUGGUGGUUGAGGUGGGUGAUUACCUUGUUGAUCAGGGUAUGUAGGCCUUAACCUCUCGCUCCCCCAAGCUCUUUGAUUUCCUGUUGCUUUUGGGCUUUUGCAUCUUUCUCCUCCAUGGCCAGGAACCGGCUUUGAAUUUUUUUCUUUUGGAAUUGUGAGGAUAAUAAAUCAUGCGAAUGAUUUCUGGUUUUGCUAGGCCUUUUUUUCCUUUGUUCUCUCAUUUUGGCAAGUCUCUAAAAUAUAUAUGUUGUUGGAUUUCUUCAUGUUAUGGUAUUGGUGGAAUUUGUUAUAA